CCAAUGACAAAUGGGUUAAGGAUAAAAGAAGAGAUCUGGACAGGCAAAGGAAAACCAUCAGGAAAAUCAAGGACUUUAGAGGAAACAACAUCAACACAACCAGGCCCUUCAUCCAAGAUGUCCAGGCCCAUCGAGUCCACAGCAUUGCCAGGAACCACACCAAGCUAAAGCAUGUCUGAAGAUAAUAAUCCAUGAAGUUCACCCCAACUUAGAAACCUUCCAUGGGUCCCUAGUGCUUCAAGGAUGAGCCAGGCAUUUAAAGCCUUCUACAAUCUAGCUCCUAAUUGCCUUUCCGGAUGUUUCAUAUAACUCUCCUUCAAAGUAUCUAGUGAAACUGGCACGCUUAUUCUUUCAUGAACUCAACAUGCCAUCUCCGUGUUUUUCUACAGGUCACCUUCCAUGCAUGAAACAUAUACCUCCCCAUCUGCCUUUUAGUUUCCCUUGCCUCCCUCCAGAGUCAGGUCAUGAGCUUUGCCUUCAAAGCUUAUCCUAAUCCCACCCUGUGUACACACUGUAUCUCUGCACUGUAUAGUAUGUAAGCUCUUUGAAGAUGGGCACUAUUAUGUUUUUGCCUUUGGUAGCCCCAGUGCCCAGCAGUCUGUGCCCACUGUAAAA